CGCGCCGUGUGGGAGGGUCAGGGCAGAGGGAGCGCCGCGUCGUGUGGGAGGGUCAGCGCAGAGGGAGCGCCGCACCGUGUCGGAGGGUCAGCGCAGAGGGAGGACCUCGUCAUGUUGGAGGGUCAGCGCAGAGGGAGCACCACGUUGUGUCGGGGGUCAGUGCAGAGGUAUUGUCUAUCCAUUUACUACUUAUGUGAGACUAUGAAAAUACUUUGAAAGCUUUCAUUAGAUGUGAGGCAGUCUUUGGGUCAUCCUGAGUGAAUUUUCCAGAAAUGCAAUUCUGUUGCUUCCUCUGCAGAAAAAGAAACACAAAAAACACAAACACAAAUCCAAGCUCAGGGGCAGGAAGCUGAAGGACAAUGACAGCAGCUCAGGGGACUCUGAAUCUGAACAGAGUGAUGGUGUGAGUGACCACACAGGCCCCCAGUCUGUGUCUGAUGCAAAUCUGCUGCUGCGAUUGAAAACGCUUCCAUUGGUGAGACGGUGAGACAGGGCAGUGGAGAAAGAGAAGCUGGUUAACCAGUCCCUCCUGCAUCCACCAUCACAGCACACUAGAUCCAAUCAUGUGAUUGGCUGAAACCUUCUCUUAUAGUUUGUCAGGAACUUCCCGACAAUAGGGAGGGAACCAGACCAGGAGCACUGACACUGGGCAGCUUGGUUCAGUCACUGUGAGCAGUUUUUAUCAUUUCGUUUUUAACCAACUGUCAGGACAUCAUACAUUUUGUCAGAGCACCCUGGACAGCUGUGGCUUUCUGUCUUAAUAAGUCGUCCAGUCAAUUGAUACUGCACUUGUAUUAGCUUUGUGCUGCAAUGAUGCCAAUGUGGAAGUCAUGGGGUUAAUGCUGGAUUGCUGGCCUCUCUAUGCUAAGUAUUUAACCAGCACAGAGAAACUGGAGAACAAACCUCACCAUUGUCUUUUACUCAUUACCCCAGACUGUUUAUUGUGAACCUCUCUGAAUAGCCUGCAGAUCAUUCUGUGCUCGCUCACUGAGGCUGCUGGAUCUGUUGUGGUAUCUUCUAUUUGUCAGAAUUAAUUCUAGGUAAAUAUUGUGAUUGCACUCUGAAGUGUCAGAGGUACCCAGAGACCCAGGCCAGUCCAAGGCAGGGGUUGGUGGAGGGCACAGGGCGGUGCUGCAGUUUAUGGAGGGCGUAUGGCUUGUCUCUGCUAAACUAUCGAUUCCGCACUGUCAAGGAACAAAGUGAUGGUGCUGAGUCAUUCCUCUGGCUCCCAACUCCUCCCUACAUGGAUACAGAAGGAGAAAUUCUCCAGGGAAUGAAUUCAGAGCAACUGUGACAGAACAGAAGCAGUCUCUACUUGUGUGGCCUGUGAGGUUGUGGGAUCCUCUGUGUAAAUUGAUUAUGGUGUUUUCCACCAUACAACAUUAACUACACUUCAAAAGUACUUCACUGGUUGAAAAGCACUUGAGGAUAUUGAGAUUAUGAAAGGUGCUAUUGAAAUGAAACUUUCCAGAAUGCUCAUCAAAGAAAUGAGACUGUAACAGAGGAGGUUUAAAUGAGUUGAGGAUAAUACAACUUGAGAUAGAGUUCCGAAUUGAACAAAAGAACUGGAUUUCCUUUUGAAAUGAGGUUCCAUUUUGGCUGGACGUAAACAAUCUGUCAUUGUUGUAAAUGAAUGUUUUGCUGUCAAGGUCUCACAGGCACAGUUAAUCUAAUGUACAAUGAAUCAAGCUGUGACUGAGUUUGGAUACAAGUUCAAUUUUGUACAGUUUCAUACUGUCAUUAAUAAAGUAUUUAUUAGACUUU